AGAGUUUGAUCAUGGCUCAGAGUGAACGCUGGUGGCGUGCUUAACACAUGCAAGUCGAACGAGAACGGAUUAUAGCUUGCUAUAAUUGUCAGCUAAGUGGCGCACGGGUGAGUAAUGUAUAGGUAAUAUGCCUCUUACUAAGGGAUAACAAAUGGAAACGUUUGCUAAUACCUUAUACUCCUUAUUAACAAAAGUUAAUAAGGGAAAGAUUUAUUGGUAAGAGAUUAGCCUGUAUUGUAUCAGUUAGUUGGUGGGGUAAUGGCUUACCAAGACUAUGACACAUAACUGGUUUGAGAGGAUGAUCAGUCACACUGGAACUGAGACACGGUCCAGACUCCUACGGGAGGCAGCAGUGGGGAAUAUUGCACAAUGGACGGAAGUCUGAUGCAGCAACGCCGCGUGGAGGAUGACACAUUUCGGUGCGUAAACUCCUUUUAUAUAGGAAGAUAAUGACGGUACUAUAUGAAUAAGCACCGGCUAACUCCGUGCCAGCAGCCGCGGUAA
rnacentral:rRNA from 1 species